AUUGAACGCUGGCGGCAUGCCUUACACAUGCAAGUCGAACGGUAACAGGUCUUCGGAUGCUGACGAGUGGCGAACGGGUGAGUAAUACAUCGGAACGUGCCUAGUAGUGGGGGAUAACUACUCGAAAGAGUGGCUAAUACCGCAUGAGAUCUACGGAUGAAAGCAGGGGAUCGCAAGACCUUGUGCUACUAGAGCGGCCGAUGGCAGAUUAGGGAGUUGGGGAGAUAAAAGCUUACCAAGCCGACGAUCUGUAGCUGGUCUGAGAGGACGAUCAGCCACACUGGGACUGAGAAACGGCCCAGACUCCUACGGGAGGCAGCAGUGGGGAAUUUUGGACAAUGGGCGCAAGCCUGAUCCAGCAAUGCCGCGUGCAGGAUGAAGGCCUUCGGGUUGUAAACUGCUUUUGUACGGAACGAAAAGCCCCGGGUUAAUACCCUGGGGUCAUGACGGUACCGUAAGAAUAAGCACCGGCUAACUACGUGCCAGCCGCCGCAGUAA
rnacentral:rRNA from 1 species